rnacentral:lncRNA from 1 species
CUUUAUACAAAUUUGAGCUCUUAGAAUCAUAGAAAAGAUCAAGAAUUCGGUGUAGGUCUAUAUCUUUUCAGUGCUGAAUGGGUGGGGUAUUUAUAGGCCCCAACCCAAUUCAAAUUUGGAGCUCAAAACGAUCAAAUCCCGGAAUUCCGGGAUCAGGCGGUUGCAACUCCUGACUGGAGAGGUUGCACCGCCUAGCAGAGCUCGAAGACUGAGCCCAGGCGGUUGCACCUCUGUGUCAGGG